rnacentral:rRNA from 1 species
AAUUUUGGACAAUGGGGGAAACCCUGAUCCAGCCAUCACGCGUGUAUGAUGAAGGCCUUCGGGUUGUAAAGUACUUUUGGCAGAGAAGAAAAGGUAUCCCCUAAUACGGGAUACUGCUGACGGUAUCUGCAGAAUAAGCACCGGCUAACUACGUGCCAGCAGCCGCGGUAAUACGCAGGGUGCAAGCGUUAAUCGGAAUUACGGGGCGUAAAGGGUUGUUUGGCGGUUCGGAAAGAAAGAUGUUAAAUCCCAGGGCCCAACCUUGGAACUGCAUUUUUAACUGCCGGGAUAGAGUAUGUCAGAAGGGGGUAGAAUUCCACGUGUAGCAGUGAAAUGCGUAGAUAUGUGGAGGAAUACCGAUGGCGAAGGCAGCCCCCUGGGAUAAUACUGACGCUCAGACACGAAAGCGUGGGGAGCAAACAGG